UACAGGGGUGCAAACGUUGCUCGGAAUCAUUGGGCGUAAAGCGCACGUAGGCGGUUCGUUAUGUCGGAUGUGAAGCCCUUGGCUUAACCGAGGAAGUGCAUCCGAAACUGGCGAGCUAGAGUACGAAAGAGGAUCGCGGAAUUCCCGGCGUAGAGGUGAAAUUCGUAGAUAUCGGGAGGAACACCGGUGGCGAAGGCGGCGAUCUGGGUCGAUACUGACGCUGAGGUGCGAAAGCGUGGGGAGCAACAGG
rnacentral:rRNA from 1 species